rnacentral:rRNA from 1 species
UUGUCGUCAGCUCGUGUCGUGAGAUGUUGGUUAAGUCCCGCAACGAGCGCAACCCCUAUUGUUAGUUGCCAUCAUUCAGUUGGGCACUCUAGCGAGACUGCCGGUAAUAAACCGGAGGAAGGUGGGGAUGACGUCAAAUCAUCAUGCCCCUUAUGACCUGGGCUACACACGUGCUACAAUGGUUGGUACAACGAGUUGCGAGUCGGUGACGGCGAGCUAAUCUCUUAAAGCCAAUCUCAGUUCGGAUUGUAGGCUGCAACUCGCCUACAUGAAGUCGGAAUCGCUAGUAAUCGCGAAUCAGCACGCCGCGGUGAAUACGUUCCCGGGCCUU